rnacentral:rRNA from 1 species
GGUAUUUUGACCGUGCUAAGGUAGCANAAUCACUUGUUUUUNAAUUGAUAACUGGAAUGAAAGGUUGCUCUUAUUUUAAUUUUUGUAAAACUNAAAUAAUAAAUNAAAGUNAGGGUAAGAAUUCUUUAAUUUUCNAGGGGACGAUAAGACCCNAGAAGCUUAAUAUAGAGUUGUACUUANAGAAAAAGUUGAUUAUUUAUUUUACUGGGGCGGUAGGAGUAAACUUACUAUUUGCUNAAAAAAGAUCUUUAAAAUUAAGANAAUUGGGAUUAGUUACUCUAGGGAUAACAGUGCAAUUUUUUNAGAAAGACCUUAUUGAUGAANAAGUUUGCAACCUCGAUGUUGAAUUAAGAUGUCUAAGUGAGGUAAAAGUUACUAAAGAUAGGUUUGUUCAACCUUUAAAGUCUUACAUGAUCNGAGUUCAAACCGGA